UGGGGAAUAUUGCACAAUGGGCGCAAGCCUGAUGCAGCCAUGCCGCGUGUAUGAAGAAGGCCUUCGGGUUGUAAAGUACUUUCAGCGGGGAGGAAGGGAGUAAAGUUAAUACCUUUGCUCAUUGACGUUACCCGCAGAAGAAGCACCGGCUAACUCCGUGCCAGCAGCCGCGGUAAUACGGAGGGUGCAAGCGUUAAUCGGAAUUACUGGGCGUAAAGCGCACGCAGGUGGUUUGUUAAGUCAGAUGUGAAAUCCUCGGGCUCAACCUGGGAACUGCAUCUGAUACUGGCAAGCUUGAGUCUCGUAGAGGGGGGUAGAAUUCCAGGUGUAGCGGUGAAAUGCGUAGAGAUCUGGAGGAAUACCGGUGGCGAAGGCGGCCCCCUGGACGAAGACUGACGCUCAGGUGCGAAAGCGUGGGGAGCAAACAGG
rnacentral:rRNA from 1 species